UGCUUUGUGUAUUUACUGAUUUGUUCAAUUUCAACUACAUAUUGUUUGUAUUCUCAUGACCUCCAAAUGAUGAUAGGGGAAAAGGUUUUCUGCGUCGCUUUUGAGCUAUUUGCGAAAACUCCCCCUGGAAAUGCUCUAUCAAAAUUUGGCCUCCAACAAAUGUGCUUGUAUCGAUAAACUGAGUGUGAAAUUCGAUUACCGCAAAUCUAGGCAUGGGUAACUCAGUUAAUUUUCAGGAGUUGGCACAGUGUUGCUGAAAUGGCUUGUUGCGCCAACCCAACGCACCAGCACAGUAAUUCACCGGAGCAGUAUGCGUUGCAGUCACCAAUUUGCAAAAAUGUUGCCCCUAAAAAAUGUGGUGACUUCUGUAGGUGUUGAAAUUCUAGCCCCGGGCCUCCUAAAGCUUUGGGUUAAAUGAUAAGCGUAAUGAAAAGUGCGGCACAGUGAGACGCGUCAGGCAGGCACUUGAAGAAUAAGACCUCUCAGUCCCAGCCAUUGAAGAUCCGAAAUUCCGAAUGUCUGCACCUACUCGAAAGAUAACCUAUCAUCCGAAUUCUCUUAAAUACAUACUCGACGUUCCACUUUCAAGAGAAUCGCCCUAUUACUAUUAAAACAGGGAUAUUAUAGUAGCGGAGUGGGCGACAAGGAUGCCGAAACGCCGCCGAUGCAGAUUUGUGAGGGAUUGGAAACUGAAGGUGAAAAUUGGCUAAAGCGCAGUCAACACAGCAACACAGCAAAAAUUCCUCAGAAAUACACUAAGGAAACAAGAAAUAUAGACCUUUGCGCGUUUAAUACAAAAAACUUGACUUUAUUAAUUGAAAAAUUCUCUCAAAUCACAAAUUGGAUUUCGAUGUUUUUGGUAUUGAAACAGAAGCGAAAAUCGUCAAAAGUCCGGUAGACACGCUAUUUAAAAAAAUCCGAAACUCGAAAUCAGCAAAAGCUAAUCACUUGUAUCUUAGUUCAUUCGAUAGAAAAUACUUGUGGCUGUAAGAAGGUUCCCGCUCAAUUUUAAUUUUUCUAGGAUUUUUGAGGGUUUGAAAACCGAAGCUGGAAAUUCACCACAGCACAGUCGACACUCUCUUUUUAAAAAAAUCCUAAGAACUAAACUAGGAAACGAAUAAAUGCAUACUUUAAUGAAUUUUUUAGGAAAAGUUUGGGUUUAUAAAAGCUGAAAAUAU